GGGGUUGUGGCUUAGUGGUAGAGCACUUGCCUCCCAUGUGUAAGGCAAGUGGGUUCGAUCCUCAGCGCCA
rnacentral:tRNA from 1 species